CUUGCUGAUUUCUGUCUGCAGGUCUGGAACCUUGAGACAUUGCAGUGUUUGCAGACUUUAACUGGGCAUACUUCAGUUGUGAUGUCUGUUCUUUGCUGGGACCAGUUUCUUUUAUCUGGUUCAUUGGACACACAGUAAAGGUUUGGGUAGCUACAGAAAGUGGGAACUUGGAAGUUACUUAUACUCACAAUGAGGAAGAUGGUGUAAUUAAACUCUGUGGGAUGCAUGAUUCACAAGGCAAGCCCAUUUUGCUGUGCUCUUGCAACAAUAAUACUGUACACCUCUAUGAUCUGCCUUCCUUCGCAGAGAGAGGCAAGAUUUUUACAAAGCAAGAGGUUCGAGCUAUUGAGGUUGGUCCUGGUGGUUUAUUCUUCACCGGUGAUGGAACAGGUCAAGUGAAAGUCUGGAAUUGGUUGCCGGAGGCAGCUUCUUCCCAACCAAUAAAUGGCUCUUCCUAAUCGUGUAUUCCAUUCAUUUCUUCUCAUGACUACUAAGUUUCAUUUAGAGUGAGGAAAGAGGGUAGCGGUUGAUAUUAUGCAAUUUGAGUAUGCAUAGGAGGCAUAGGCAUAGGCAUAGGCAUAUAUGGAAAACACGUGAGUUUUGGCACAGCGGUAGCAAGCGUCCAUGUCCAAAUCUGUAAUCUUUUGAAGAGGGUGGGUCUUUCUUCUUGUUAAGGCCUGUCUCUAUAUAUAUUUCUAAUUUUCUUGUCACUUGGAAGUAUUUCAUGGGAUAUGUUUUGGUCCUGUCCUUGGCACAAAGUUGUCUCACGUGGCGUGACUCUGAACAAUGGAGGGACGCCAGGGUUUGUAACAUUACGUGAAUCAUAUUAGUAUCAUUACUUGAGAAGCCCCCAAGUCUAUUGCUUUGAGAAUCCCAUGGGGGGUUUCCCAACAGCUUUUAUGUCUGAGUGGUUUAUUACUUUCAUCCUAUUUUUCAACGA